GACGGGUGAGUAACGCGUAGGCAACCUGCCCCGUGCAGAGGGAUAGCCUCGGGAAACCGGGAUUAAAACCUCAUAACGCGCAACCGAGACAUCUCGGAUGCGCCAAAGAUUUAUCGGCACGGGAUGGGCCUGCGUCUGAUUAGUUAGUUGGUGGGGUAACGGCCUACCAAGGCGACGAUCAGUAGCCGACCUGAGAGGGUGAUCGGCCACAUUGGAACUGAGACACGGUCCAAACUCCUACGGGAGGCAGCAGUGGAGAAUCUUGCACAAUGGGCGAAAGCCUGAUGCAGCAACGCCGCGUGAAGGAUGAAGGCCCUUGGGUCGUAAACUUCUGUUCUAAGGGAAGAUAAUGACGGUACCUUAGGAGCAAGUCCCGGCUAACUACGUGCCAGCAGCCGCGGUAAUACGUAGGGGGCAAGCGUUAUCCGGAAUUAUUGGGCGUAAAGAGUACGUAGGUGGUUUCCUAAGCGAGGGGUUUAAGGCAAUGGCUUAACCAUUGUUCGCCCCCCGAACUGGGUAACUUGAGUGCUGGAGGGGAAAGCGGAAUUCCUAGUGUAGCGGUGAAAUGCGUAGAUAUUAGGAGGAACACCAGUGGCGAAGGCGGCUUUCUGGACAGUAACUGACACUGAGGUACGAAAGUGUGGGGAGCAAACAGGAUUAGAUACCCUGGUAGUCCACACCGUAAACGAUGAAUACUAGGUGUCGGGGAUCAAAGAUCUUCGGUGCCGCAGCAAACGCAAUAAGUAUUCCACCUGGGGAGUACGUUCGCAAGAAUGAAACUCAAGGGAAUUGACGGGGACCCGCACAAGCGGUGGAGCAUGUGGUUUAAUUCGAAGCAACGCGAAGAACCUUACCAAAUCUUGACAUCCUUCUGACAGAACCGAUAAACGGUUUUCCCUUCGGGGCAGGAGAGACAGGUGGUGCAUGGUUGUCGUCAGCUCGUGUCGUGAGAUGUUGGGUUAAGUCCCGCAACGAGCGCAACCCUUGUCCUUAGUAGCCAGCACGUUAAGGUGGGCACUCUAGGGAGACUGCCGGAGACAAUCCGGAGGAAGGUGGGGAUGACGUCAAAUCAUCAUGCCCCUUAUGAUUUGGGCUACACACGUGCUACAAUGGCGUAAACAAAGGGAAGCAGAGUCGUGAGGCCGAGCAAAUCCCAAAAAUAACGUCUCAGUUCGGAUUGUAGUCUGCAACUCGACUACAUGAAGCUGGAAUCGCUAGUAAUCGCGAAUCAGAAUGUCGCGGUGAAUACGUUCCCGGGUCUUGUACACACCGCCCGUCACACCAUGGGAGUCGGUAACGCCCGAAGU
rnacentral:rRNA from 1 species